ACCUUUAGAUCAUAGUAAUGAUUUUGCUUGUCAUUUUAGACUUAUAAACAAUAAAUAUCCAGAUGGGGGACCUGGCAACCCUGAAAGCCCAGCAUCAACUGGAUGAACAAACUGUGGAAGCAUUUGUGCAAGAAGUGAAAGAAUGGGCAGAUGGAGAAACUGACCACCAAGGCACACCAGAAGCUUUGUGUAAGAAGACUGAGGCGCUCACAACUAGCAUCAAGACGAGAACUCAACUCCUAUAUCGGAAAAAUGACAGCAACAAGGGUUGAAAUAGGAUUCGCAGAAAAAUAAGACAACAGAAGACCACUUUGAAGGCCAUGGUAGCAGAGUACAACAGUCUUGUUCCACCCAAGCAAGCGGUGUGCAUGGAUAGCAUUCUUGACACAGAACAUCCCUGGCCUUGGCAAAUUACAC